rnacentral:rRNA from 1 species
GACGUAGGGCGCGAGCGUUGUCCAGAUUUAUUGGGCGUAAAGAGCUCGUAGGCGGCUCAUCGCGUCUGCCGUGAAAACCCGCAGCUCAACUGCGGGCUUGCGGUUGAUACGGGUGGGCUGGAGUUCGGUAGGGGAGACUGGAAUUCCUGGUGUAGCGGUGAAAUGCGCAGAUAUCAGGAGGAACACCGGUGGCGAAGGCGGAUCUCUGGGCCUUACCUGACGCUCAGGUGCGAAAGCUAGGGGAGCGAACAGG